rnacentral:lncRNA from 1 species
AACAUAGGAGCCUAUAAUUACUAGUCAAAAUCAUUUUGUCCCUUUUGUUAUACCUCAAUUACUCGAAUAAACAAAACUACAGGUUGUUUUUUUAGAAAAGGAAAAAAUCCUGGAGCGGUUGUGUCGGGCUCAAAGGAAACAAAAACUAGUUUUACUAAUAUAGUAAAAAUGAACUAAUUCUAUGAGCACACGUCGGUUUUGUUUCGCUCUUAAUGUUCAAAGGUGUCUUUUACCUAAUCUGUAAAAUAACGACGCACACGCACACACAUAAGUUAUCAGUUCAAGACUUCAAGUGGCAAUUUCCAUUGAGUUUAGAAUCGGCAGCAAUAGUAGAACCUAGAUUGUUUCACACU